CUAAGCAUUAAAAAAAUAGUGACUGGGCUGUCAUUGCUGCCCAGUCACUAUAAAAGGCCACAUCCAAUGGUGAUGGGGUCUGGGAAAUUUCAUUUAUGGGCAUCAGGUUGUGUAUUUGCUACCUUAAAUAUUAUUAUCCUCUUCUAAUAUUUAUAAUAAAGGGUGUAUAAUAAAGGAGUGACCUAUUGUCCCUUCCCUGGUCCUGACCCAUUAUGG